rnacentral:rRNA from 1 species
UGAGGGAAUAUUGGGUCAAUGGGCGCAGGCCUGAACCAGCCAAGUCGCGUGAGGGAAGACGGUCCUACGGAUUGUAAACCUCUUUUGUCGGGGAGUAACGUGCGGGACGCGUCCCGUAUUGAGAGUACCCGAAGAAAAAGCAUCGGCUAACUCCGUGCCAGCAGCCGCGGUAAUACGGAGGAUGCGAGCGUUAUCCGGAUUUAUUGGGUUUAAAGGGUGCGCAGGCGGCGCGCCAAGUCAGCGGUCAAAGUUCCGGGCUCAACCCGGUGUCGCCGUUGAAACUGGCGUGCUCGAGUGCGUGCGAGGAAGGCGGAAUGCGUUGUGUAGCGGUGAAAUGCAUAGAUAUGUCACAGAACCCCGAUUGCGAAGGCAGCUUACCAGGAUACAACUGACGCUGAGGCACGAAAGCGUGGGUAUCAAACAGGAUUAGAUACCCUGGUAGU